GAAUGACUGGGGUGACCAUAUAGUUUUAUCAUCCAAGCCAGGAAAUUUGUGCAAGUCAAAGUGAGUGCUAAAAAUAAUUAACGGGUGUUAUCUCAUCUACAACAGGGUGUGUGAGCUGGCAGUGCCCUGCACAAAACAGCGCUUACGGCUUUGGGAACAACAAAUACCCAAUCUAUCCCUCGGUGUGAUUAGAUACUUGUUACAUAAAGCAAACCGCAACGUUCACUCCUCAGAAGACAGCCAGAGCUGGCAACGGCCAGCGGGAAAGCAGUCACAGAAAUGGUGCUGGUCUUCAGUGUCGCGCAGGACAGAUGCCAAGGCUCCCGCCUCAAGGGCGCGGUUAUCCUCACACGGUCAUUUCAGGGCAACCAUUAGGAUGACACUAGGAGCAAAGCCUGCUGGAUCAAUCCCCAUACCAGCAAGCCGUGCGGUGUGGAAACACGACCGGGCAGAGGCGCACCACGAUACUUUGGGGAAGCCACGCACGUGACACGCUCACCAGAGAUUCUGGGGAAUCAGGACACAGUGCAGCCCCAACCAGGAUCCAUCUGAAAUGAGGUAGACAGAAGCCGAGGAAGCUGUAAACCAGAACCAAGCCCGAAUCAGAUAGAUCAGGCAACAAAAAGGACACAAGACAGAGCGAAGGCUGCCCUCUCAAGGAGAACUGCGCCCUCUCUCGGGCAGGGGGCUCAGCACAGGGGCUGCUCUGCGAGGGAGGCCACACUCAUUUUCCCAAACGUCCCUCCUGCGGCCUACGAUGCUUGUUCUAGCCAUAGCAUCUGCACGAACACCUGAACACAUUCUGAGCCCCCAGUGCUACAGAGUGAGGAAAUAGAAUUUAAAUGCUCAACUUUGCCACAUCUACAGGUGAAAUGUCUCCACCUACACAAGUGAUCGUUAUAGACCCAUGAUGUGGAAGGGCUUACGAUGAAAAUGUAAAGUUACACACAUACUGCUCUGCGUAUAACAUGGGAAAAGCAGCAUACGCCCCCCGGCAUAAGCCUGAAGGGACUCGGAGAAAGAGAAGAGCUGCUGAACCGUGACCUUUCCUCCCCUCACUUUAAAUCUCCUCUAGAACCAUUAUUGUGAUGUAAGCACUCUGCACAAUAAGGGGGUAAGCUGCCUGCACGGGCUCCAGUCCCGGGACGCUCCUGGGGCCCGCCCCCCAGCCCACUCACUCGCCCCUUCUCAGUGGCCAGUCCAGCCCCCGGGCCCACAGAGAUCUGCCCCACGCUCGCGCUGUGUUCUGCCCCUUCUGCUGUUACACCUGUCACGGGACACUAUAAUCACUUCUUUUCACGUCUAACAGGCUGUGAGAAGUCCCUGAGUGCAGGGGACAUGUUUAUCCAUGUCCGUCUGCCCUCAGGCACUGGGCAGAGAGAGUACCUCCACGCUGGAUGCUUGAAAGAAGGAAAAACAAGUCUGUCCAAAACCUGCAUCUUUUCCAAUUGGUUUCUGUUUGUUUUCAGAAAUCAGAAUGCCAAGGUACAGCCGUAGUGUUGUCAAAUUGUUGCUGGGCUCUCCAGGGGUAGAUAAGAAGUUUUCACACACACACACACACACACACACACACACACACAAAUGGACACCACCCAGAGACACACAGACACACACAUGGACAUACAUACAUGAGCGUGCGCACACACACACACACACACACACACACACUCACACUCACACACACACACAGAAAAAGGAGCCGGGCCCAACCCAUGGCUGCUCAUCAGAAUCCAAAGACGCACAGCUCCCAGCAAGCUCUUGGCCCGGUACGAAGGGCAUUUGUAAGAGGGUAACAGCAACCCACAGCAUAGUCCACUGCGAUGAACGAACCAUUCAAUCUCCUCUCUGAAGAGAAAGAAGCAACAAAGCCUCCUUCCUAGCUCACGCUCGCCGGCACAGAGCCCAUGUGCAUCCUGCACGGGGAACAGCGAGCUUCAAAGAGAAGCCCUGGCCUCAAGUCAAGACCUAAGAAAGUGUGACCUAGUGCACAGAUUACUAAGGAGCCUGUGCGCAUCUGGCAUCACAAGAGUGUGAGUCCCAAACGUGGCUGCACUGCAAAAUCAUGGAAAGCACCGAAAAGUCACCCCCUUACAAAUCGGCAUCAGAACCUCUGGGGAUGGUGCCAAUAUUUUUUUCCCAAAGGGUGCUCAGGCACACCCAAGUUUGGGAACUGCUGCCCUGAGUAAGCAGAAGGUGGCAACAUGUUACCUUCUGACCAUGGCAUGAACAGGAAGACCUCCCAGAAGAGACAGUUGUCACCCUUCCUUUGAGGAAUGGACAGGUCUGUAGAGGGAACUUCAGCAAAGGGCCCCCAUACUGAGGAGCCCCACCAAGACCAGGGUGACCUGUGCACAGGGUACCGGUUCCCUACAAAAAGCAGGUCAGCUGGAGCAGGUCCGUGGCGAGGCGAGAGGCUGGGACAGCUGGGGAGCGCCACGUCCCAUGGACUGGAGGAGGUAAGAACUGAGGUGGCCCUUGAUGAUUUACACUGCUUUUAGAAAUGGGCAGAAUGUGACUCUUUUUAAUGGUUUUAUAUUUCAGGCAUAUUCCAGUCAAACUUGUCUUUCCUCUUCAAGGUCCAACUCAAGUGCGGUUGCUGCCAGGACCCCAGGGAUAAGAGUAAAACAGCCCGACUGCUUUUAGGUCCAGUGAAGUCUAGAAUAAUCCACCGUGAUUUUAAUUAGAAGCUAUUAUUCAGCAAACAGAGAAAGUAUGAAACAUUUCACUUAAGAAAUAGGCUGGCACCUAAAGCUGGCAAAUUCCCUCCUUCUCUUCACGCCACUUUUUUGGCCUUGUGAGGGGGCAGCCCCACCUGAAGGUGAGAAGGCAGAAGACAUCGUGAGCUCUACUCCCCAUCUUCUGGAAGCUCCCGCUGCCGCCACGCCACCAAGGAAGAAUCUGAAGGCAAUCUCUACGUCUCCAGCCUCACCCCAGGCUCACACUGUUCUUAAAGAACAGGACGACAAGCAGA